GAUUGUAACAAAAUGAAUAUUAGCUGAUAGGCAUAUUCAAAAUGAAAAGCAAAGGCUGAGUGAGUGUGAAAAAGGCUAUAAUAUAGGCUUUUGUUGGAUGAAAAAUGUGAUUAGAGCAAAAGCAUCCACAUUGAACCUACUAAUCCUAAAACAUGAGGAACACAAAUUAUUCAUACUCUAACAUGUGUGAUGAAAGAAGAAUGCAUAGAAAUAGAAGGUUAAUUUGACUUGGCAGAGUUUUUACAAGAAGUGAAGUAUUGAAGUUUUUGACUUGUCGGCCAAAGUGACCCUACUGGCCACCAUCUUCCAACCUUCCUCCAUUUUUCUUCCUCCGUGUGUGACCGACAAAACAGUGCUUGCCCCAAUCUUGUAAAAUUUGUCUACACAUAGAGAUCAAGAAAGAAGCUCUCUUGCAAGUUGUAAUUGAAAAUUGAGGAAGCACAAGUCCCCAUUAUGCAGCACAUUAAUUAUUUGCUUGCUUGAGACUGCUGCUGUUACUUUCAAAUCUAUUUUGUGGGGUUAUCAUUAUUUCUACCAAUUCUUGAAGCCGUGUGUAUAACAAGACUUGUGCUCAAUAAUAAUACCUCCGUGUUCUGUGAUUUUGUGGUUUUUUUCAAGGGAACCAUGCAUGCCUCAAGUUCAUGUACUUCAACACCUCAUACUUAAAUUGUAGUUGGAUUCAUGGGGCACUGAUUCACAAGAUCAAUUCGAACCUUCUGCUUCCAUUAGCAGACAAAAUUCAAACGUCAAAUUAUUGGCUCACCACAGAUUUCUUUAACUUUUGUUUUGAUUAUCUAAAUUCACUCAUACAACAUGAUCUUCCUCUCAGUCUACUUAUCUGUAUAUUUGGAUUUAUAAUGGCANAGUUAACAAAUUCUGAGUUAUUAGCAGAACAGUGAGUGUACCAAAAAAAAAAAACAUUUGAGGGCAAUUGAAGUUAAAUUCUGUAUGAUUAGUACUUGUCCCUAUUCUGAAGGUUUGUUUAUACUAAAAAUGUGCAUUGGUUGCAACCUAUAUGGACUCAUUUUCUUGAUUGAUCAACAUAUUAAGAAUAUAAGGUAUAUUGUUCUACCAUGAGUAAGAAGGAUUACUAUACGUGUCGAUCAAUCAUUCAUGUGCCCCCAUUUUCAAUCAAAUAAAGCUUUGGGGUCCAUUAAUGGAUAGCUACUGACCCACCACUCCAUUGAUGAAACUCACAUGUUAUAACACACCGUUACUCACUUUGAUUCAUGAGAAUUGACUAAAUCAGAAUCUGCCCCACAUUGCCUUUCGUUUUAACUUUUAUCUGUUUUAUCAUUUAUUCAUUGGCUCGCUUUGGUCCUUAUAUAGACAUUUUAUGCUUGACUGAAUGGUAAGUGACACAACGGGAAGGGAAAUUGUGUGGUGAAAAGCACCAAGUGAUGGGGUUAAUCCAGCUAUUGCUUUCACAGCUCAGACAAAAAUACCUGUAGCCUUCAAUGAAAAGGGAAAAGCCUACAGACACAAGCCUAGGUUCUGGUUUGAAUGUGAAAGCCAUGCAACACAAAAUAAAGAGCCACAUUUAAGGCACAUCCAUCUACCCCUUCUGGAUCCCAUCACCUGUUUCAAGCUUUCCAACCUAGCUUACAGAUUUUGUGUCAUAAAUAGAUGAGGUGUGAAAAAGUAGUUCCUGUGGGAAAAAAAGAAAGUUACACUAACCUAAAGCUGUCAAAAAUGCAAGGUAUAAUUGAAUCAAUGAUAUGAUAUCCAACUAUUAAAGACCUCCAUUUUGUCUCUAAUGAUGUGUAAAUAAUUAUUACUGAUAUGUUUAAUUCAUCCAGUCCCUCCAUAAUACCAUCAUUCGAUCUCAAAUGGGGGCCCACUGUUUUUCUUAUUUAUAUCAAACUGACUACCACACUAUUCUCCCAUAUGCACCUUACCUUGAGCAGUUUCUCUCUCUCACAACUUUCAUUUAUACAAAACAGCAUCAUUCUCCUUUCUGCUAACACUUUAACUAGCUUUUCUUCAUGGCUCUCUUUCUCUUUGCUAUUUUAAUCUUGAUGGCCCCUUCAAGCAAUGCCUAUUGGCCACCUUCACCUGGCUACUGGCCAAGUUCCAAAUUCAGCUCUAUGAGUUUUUACAAAGGGUUUCGAAAUCUCUGGGGCCCUCAGCACCAAAGUCUAGACCAAAAUGCAUUAACAAUCUGGCUUGAUAGAACCUCAGGUAUGAAUCCGAUCACUUUCAAUGCUCUCUCUUUCUCUUGCAUGAUAUCAUUGAAAUCUUAAUCCACCUUCACUGCUUUGUUUCUGGAGAACAGGAAGUGGCUUCAAGUCGGUAAGGCCAUUUCGAUCCGGUUACUUUGGGGCUUCCAUUAAGGUCCAACCUGGCUAUACUGCAGGAGUUAUCACAGCUUUCUAUGUAAGAUAUGGCCUCAAGAGAUCAUAUAAUAAAGUGUUAUCGGUUGAAACUAACUUGAAAGCUUACACUUUUUUCCGUAGUGUAGCUAGUUAAUUAAUUACUGUUAUUAGUGAAUAUAAUGAUUAUUUGACUAAUGGCAGCUCUCAAACAAUGAAGCACAUCCUGGUUUCCAUGAUGAAGUGGACAUCGAGUUUCUUGGGACAACAUUUGGAAAGCCUUACACUUUGCAGACGAAUGUUUAUAUAAGAGGAAGUGGAGAUGGGAGAAUUAUAGGCAGAGAGAUGAAGUUCCAUCUCUGGUUUGAUCCUACCAAAGAUUUUCAUCACUAUGCUAUUCUGUGGAGUCCCAAGGAAAUAAUGUGAGUCACUAUACAUAAUACACUGUUACUCUUUCUGAAUGUAUGUGUGAGACUGUGGCUCUAUUUGAAAUUAAAUGCAUAGAUUUUCAGUCCUAAUACAAAAGAAAAGGAUAGACAAGGUAGGAACUACUUCGUUUUCUUCUGAAGUAGAUAGGUAGGAGUGAAGAUCAAAGGAACUUAGUAAGAUUGGAUUCUGUGUAUGUGGCAUCAGAUUGAUUGGUUCUUAUCAUAAGGUGUCACGGUCUGGCCAAAACUGAUUGGCUGGACAUUUGAUAUUCAGAAUACUUUUUUUAUAUAAUUUUCUAUAGAAAAGGACUAAAAAUAAGUGAUAUGAUUAUAGAAAAAUGUAAGAAUGGUAUAACCGGACUGAUAUUUUUGUAAGAUGAAGUUAAGGCAAGUAGGGAUUUGACAGGAAUAGACAAUCAUGUAGAAAAAUGGUAGAAUCAAGGUCACAUGAGUGGCACAAAAAACCCAAGCAUCAAAGUGUGGGGUAAGCAAAAUCUGCUGACUCCCAGCUAAUGAAAAAGCUAAAAGUGACAUUUAAUUAAUUGAUCUAGUAGUUCCUUAGAGAACCGUAAUUAUAAGAUGAGUUUCAAGUGUUGAGUGGUGCAUAUGGUGAAUCUUAAAAAAGGGUGUGUCUGAUUUGUAUUACCUGGUUAACAUUGCUUUCACUGACAUCGAAUUGCGUGUCAGAUUCCUAGUGGAUGAUGUGCCAAUAAGAAGGUACCCGAGGAAGAGUGGUGCAACGUUUCCUCUGAGACCAAUGUGGCUAUAUGGUUCAAUAUGGGAUGCUU
rnacentral:lncRNA from 1 species